AGAUACAACACAGAUGAUUUACUGAAGAUUCUUGAAAUCUAAGCAAUGGAGGUGAAGUUGAAGUUGGAGCAAGUGGUCUGCCUGCCAAAGAGCAGAGAGCUAAACCCGAGCCUUGAAGUAGCCAAGUCGAAUUGCAACAGAUUGUUCUCCAGCUGAUACCCACCAAUAACGAUUGAAGUUCUUGGAUUUGAUCCACCAUUAACCAACCCAAGGCACAGCACAUCAUCGCUAACUUGCACUACUGAAUUCGCACCGAAGAUACUCCAAGUCACGUUCUCAUUCUGCAACACCAGAGAAAUGGUUGGCACACCAUACCCCAAACGUGUGCUAAGCACGUUCUCUGUGCUAAAGCAAACAUCAAAUGGUGCCACAGAAUCCACCCUGGUGAUGUUCCUUGCUGCAGCCUCACUGAUAAAUGUCUCAGUGACUGCCUUGAAAAUGGAAGACUCUACGACAGUGUAUGGGUUUACUGUGCUUAUUUUUGUGCCACCAUUGCCCUCGCCGUCAAUGGUCAGUAGGGUGGAGUUCAAGGGGACAGUUUUGUCGUCGAUCUUAAUAGAUGUUACCCCAAUGAAAUACUCAGCUGAGGGCUCGCCUUGGGUGGAAGCUGAAGCUGUGCUUACUGGGUUGAUGAAGAGAGGUGUGAAGGUGAGUGAUUGAGAUGUAUAUUGCACAUUAGGAAGGAAGUUAUAGGGACCAUCACCAAAGAAUAUUACUCCAUUAGAUGCUAAGCAAAUGGCAAAUUUUCUGUGGAAGCUAAAGGCGGAGGCAAAUUGAGAAGGAAGUGCGGCUCUAGUCCUGCCAAGUCCAGCCAUGCCCACAACACCACUAGCAAGACCCUCUAGUAAAGAGGUGGGAGCACAAGAGAAUAAGAACCGUGGCACAGUUACUGCUUGACCAGGGUUCGACCCAUUGGUGGAAUUGACAGAAACAACAUCUGUAGCGAGUUCACCACCCGUAGCAGCUCGUGUCACAGGGUUGUCAGGCGAAACACCACAAGUGUUGUUGUUGCAGCCUGGCCUAGGCCCUGAGAAACAGUCACCGCAGCCAUUGGCUCCACCCAGUGAGCAUAAGGCGGAACCACACCUGGCAGGGCGGUAAGUGGAAGAGACAUAACCUUGGUCGCAAUCAACCCAGAGGAAUUUGCCACCAAGGUGAACAACAAGGUUAAUGGGCACUCGAGGGGUCCUCUGUUCUAUUUGGGUAACAUAUUGGCGAGUGGAAGCAUCUUUUGAGACUGGAACGACGAGGGCCUUGGGGCGGAAAGAUUGUUGAGCAAAAGAAGGGGAGAAGAAAAGGAAGAAGAAGAAGAAAGUUAAGAGGACAGAGGAAUGGGAA
rnacentral:misc_RNA from 1 species